UCUACCUAGUAGUAUGGAAUAGCCAUUAGAAAUGAUGGGUAAUACUGUAUAAUCCCUGCGGGGGAAAGAUUUAUCGCUAUUAGAUGAGCCUACGUUAGAUUAGCUAGUUGGUAAGGUAAUGGCUUACCAAGGCUAUGAUCUAUAGCUGGUCUGAGAGGACGAUCAGCCACACUGGAACUGAGAUACGGUCCAGACUCCUACGGGAGGCAGCAGUGGGGAAUAUUGGACAAUGGGCGAAAGCCUGAUCCAGCUAUGCCGCGUGAGUGAAGAAGGCCUUCGGGUUGUAAAGCUCUUUCAAUAGGGAAGAUAAUGACGGUACCUAUA
rnacentral:rRNA from 1 species